rnacentral:misc_RNA from 1 species
GAAGUGCGAUAAGUAAUGCGAAGUGCAGAGCAUGUGAGUCAUCGAAACCUUGAACGCAGAACAUCCUGGGGUCUCCCUAGGAUUCAUCUGGUUGAGCAUCGAUUAUAUCUACCCUAAAGGCUUUUAAAGGGUGUUUUGAAGAUGCGUCUUAAUAGGAUGCUUCUUUUAAAUUAAUUGGUCUAGGUGAGAGUAAUGGACUUGUAAUUCAUUUAUGGAUAAUGAGACCUUUAUGAUCAUCUAAUACCAUAUACAAGGAACACUUUAAGGGUAUUUAUAUAUCCUUAAUUUAAAAUUUGAUCUCAACCAGGUGCGAUUACCCGCUGAAUUUAAGC